rnacentral:rRNA from 1 species
GAUGAACGCUGGCGGCGUGCCUAAUACAUGCAAGUCGAGCGAACAGACGAGGAGCUUGCUCCUCUGACGUUAGCGGCGGACGGGUGAGUAACACGUGGAUAACCUACCUAUAAGACUGGGAUAACUUCGGGAAACCGGAGCUGAUCCCGGAUAAUAUAUUGAACCGCAUGGUUCAAUAGUGAAAGACGGUUUUGCUGUCACUUAUAGAUGGAUCCGCGCCGCAUUAGCUAGUUGGUAAGGUAACGGCUUACCAAGGCAACGAUGCGUAGCCGACCUGAGAGGGUGAUCGGCCACACUGGAACUGAGACACGGUCCAGACUCCUACGGGAGGCAGCAGUAGGGAAUCUUCCGCAAUGGGCGAAAGCCUGACGGAGCAACGCCGCGUGAGUGAUGAAGGUCUUCGGAUCGUAAAACUCUGUUAUUAGGGAAGAACAAAUGUGUAAGUAACUAUGCACGUCUUGACGGUACCUAAUCAGAAAGCCACGGCUAACUACGUG